rnacentral:rRNA from 1 species
CAGCCGCCGCGGGUAUACGUAGGGUGCAAGCGUUAAUCGGAAUUACUGGGCGUAAAGCGUGCGCAGGCGGUUAUAUAAGACAGAUGUGAAAUCCCCGGGCUCAACCUGGGAACUGCAUUUGUGACUGUAUAGCUAGAGUACGGCAGAGGGGGAUGGAAUUCCGCGUGUAGCAGUGAAAUGCGUAGAUAUGCGGAGGAACACCGAUGGCGAAGGCAAUCCCCUGGGCCUGUACUGACGCUCAUGCACGAAAGCGUGGGGAGCAAACAGGAUUAGAUACCCCUGUAGUCCCUGUCUCUUAUAA